CAGUAGUCCCGUGGGUCCCCGGGCGCCAGCGCGGGAACCGGGAAAAGGAAACCGCGUUGUGUACGUAAGAUCCAGGAAGCGAAACCAGGAGCCGCGGGUGUUGGCGCAAAGGUUACUCCCAGACCCUCUUCCGGCUGACUUCUGAGAAGGUUGCGCAGCAGCUGUGCCCGGCAGUCUAGAGGCGCAGAAGAGGAAGCCAUCGCCUGGCCCCGGCUCUCUGGACCUUGUCUCGCUCGGGAGCGCAAACAGCGGCAGCCAGAGAACUGUUUUAAUCAUGGACAAACAAAACCCACAGAUGAAUGCUUCUCACCCGGAAACAAACUUGCCAGUUGGGUAUCCUCCUCAGUAUCCACCGACAGCAUUCCAAGGACCUCCAGGAUAUAGUGGCUACCCUGGGCCCCAGGUCAGCUACCCACCCCCACCAGCCGGCCAUUCAGGUCCUGGCCCAGCUGGCUUUCCUGUCCCAAAUCAGCCAGUGUAUAAUCAGCCAGUAUAUAAUCAGCCAGUUGGAGCUGCAGGGGUACCAUGGAUGCCAGCGCCACAGCCUCCAUUAAACUGUCCACCUGGAUUAGAAUAUUUAAGUCAGGUAAUUUCAAAGACACAAAAUACUCAUAAAAAACAGAACUGUGCUUCCAGCUUGCUUAACCAGAUUAGCAAAUGAAUAAUUCACCAAAGUCUGAAAUAGCAAAACUAUAUUUCCUGCUAACAGAUUACUCUAAUUCUUCUAGGUCUGGUUCAAUUUUAAAGCAAAAUACAAAUGCCUUAGAAAAUUGUAUUUUCUAUUAUCUUAAAUACAAUCUAUGAUAAUGGCCAAUAGCAAACAUUUAAUUAGCACUGUUUCCUGCCUUUGUUGUAUGCCUGAUACAUGUAUUAACUCAUUUAAUCCUUAUUGAAAGUCUGUGAUGUAUAGGUGCUACAUUUUUCAAAAGAAGAAACUGAGGUCCAGAGAGGUUAUAUAGCUCACUCUGGGGUGAGAACCUAAAGAGUCAAGACUGUUUUUUUAAUCCCGAAACUUUGGUACUGAGCGAAGUGCUCUUUAGUCUCAAUACUGAAUAAUUGCCUUAUAAUUUGGAAGAAAAUUUAAAUAAAGUUUAUUGUUGAGUUUCAAUAAGUGGCCCAAACAAGGGGUUAAUAUUUUAUGUGUAAUAUGACUCACCUUUUUAUUGUAACUAAUAAAACUGCAUUUUUAUGAUGCUGCUUUUGUUCUUUGGAAGACCUAAUUUUAUAAAUGCCAUUAAUAAAGGAGUAAAAAGUCC
rnacentral:sRNA from 1 species